AGCACAGUGGAAAUGAAGGUGGAUGUGUCUCACUGUUUCCAGGAGGCUUACUCAUCAGGGACCUGAGAGGAAGAUCAGAAGAGCUGGAUAUGUAUGACAAAAACCAUGCUAUCUCGAACACAGAACACAGGGUGGGAUGCUGCCAACAGAGAUAACAACUACAGAGCACAACAUCUUUUCAAUGCCAAGUCACCUGAAAAGAUCCACACACCUGCCUUGAUUGCUACAUGGACCCCAACCUCAAAUAUUUG
ensembl:lncRNA